rnacentral:rRNA from 1 species
UACAGAGGUCCCAAGCGUUGUUCGGAUUUACUGGGCGUAAAGGGCGCGUAGGCGGCCUCUUUAGUCAGACGUGAAAUCCCCCGGCUUAACCUGGGAACUGCGUCUGAUACUGGGAGGCUAGAGUUCGGGAGAGGGAUGUAGAAUUCCAGGUGUAGCGGUGAAAUGCGUAGAUAUCUGGAGGAAUACCGGUGGCGAAGGCGGCAUCCUGGGCCGAAACUGACGCUGAGGCGCGAAAGCUAGGGGGAGCAAACGGGG